rnacentral:rRNA from 1 species
GUAGGUGGCAAGCGUUGUCCGGGAAUUAUUGGGGCGUAAAGCGCGCGCAGGCGGUUCUUUAAGUCUGAUGUGAAAGCCCACGGGCUCAACCGUGGGAGGGUCAUUGGAAACUGGAGAACUUGAGUACAGAAGAGGAAAGCGGAAUUCCACGUGUAGCGGUGAAAUGCGCAGAGAUGUGGAGGAACACCAGUGGCGAAGGCGGCUUUCUGGUCUGUAACUGACGCUGAGGCGCGAAAGCGUGGGGAGCAAACAGGAUUAGAUACCCUGGUAGUCCACGCCGUAAACGAUGAGUGCUAAGUGUUAGGGGGUUUCCGCCCCUUAGUGCUGCAGCUAACGCAUUAAGCACUCCGCCUGGGGAGUACGGCCGCAAAGGCUGA